UACGUAGGGGGCAAGCGUUGUCCGGAAUCAUUGGGCGUAAAGCGCGUGUAGGCGGCCCGGUAAGUCCGCUGUGAAAGUCGGGGGCUCAACCCUCGGAUGCCGGUGGAUACUGUCGGGCUAGAGUGCGGGAGAGGCGAGUGGAAUUCCUGGUGUAGCGGUGAAAUGCGCAGAUAUCAGGAGGAACACCAAUUGCGAAGGCAGCUCGCUGGAACGUUACUGACGCUGAGACGCGAAAGCGUGGGGUGCAAACAGG
rnacentral:rRNA from 1 species